AGGAACCUUCCCUUCCCUGUAUUUUGCCUUAACAUUAGCCUAUAAAUAGGCAUACCAAUUGUAAAGGGGAGUGUGACCAACGGAGAAAAGAAAGAAAGGGGAGAAGAGAAAAAGAAGAGAGAAGAAGAAGAGAAAAGAAGAAAGAAAAGAAGAGAAAAAGAAGAAAGAGAGAAAAAAUUCAGUGAGCCUCACAUAUUGUAAACUCUAAAGUUGUAGCCCUAUUAUUUUAUAUAGUGAAAAAGUUACUGCUGCUGCUCUCCGAGGACGUAGGCAUAGCCGAACCUCGUUAAAUGCUGUGUCUCAUCUACUUUACGUGCAGCUCAAUAUUCAUACAUAUUCCAGGUUAUUUAUAUAACACGUUAUCAGCACGAGAAACUCUCAGGUAUAAUUUUUGUGCUGCACUAUUAUCUAUACUACUAACCACUAACAAAAAUGGACCCUUGGUAAUACUAAACAUAUUAUCAGUGGGAGACCGUUACUAAUACUAACUUUUUCUUAUUUUAUUCGGUGGUGGUUUUAACCCCACAUUUAUUUACUGUAUGGUAUAGGUUUAUUACCCAUACAUGCACCUUUACUUUAUCGCAAAUUUAUUUUACCGCAUAUUUAUUUUAUUUACUGUAUGGUGUAGGUUUAUUACUCAUACAACAGUAUUUAUUUAAAAGGGUGGUGCGGGUUUAUCGUCCACACCUUUGCUUUUAUUUAAAUGUAUGGAGCAGAAUUAGUGCCCAUACAAGCACAAUUUACUUUAUCGCACAUUUAAUUUUAUUUAAAGUAUGGUGCGGGAUUAACGUCCAUACAGCAAGCAAUUUAAUUUAUGCAUUUACUUUACUGCACAUUUAAUUUUAUUUAAAGUAUGGUGCGGGAUUAACGUCCAUACAGCAAGCAAUUUAAUUUAUGAAUUUAAUUUACCGCACAUUUACAUUUAUUUAAAAGGGUGGUGCGGGUUUAUCGUCCACGCCUUUACUUUUAUUUAAAUGUAUGGAGCAGAAUUAAUGCCCAUACAAGCACCUUAACUUUAUGAAUUUAAUUUACCGCACAUUUACAUUUAUUUAAAGUGUGGUGCGGGUUUAUCGUCCAUACCAGUAAUUUAUUUACCAGCAAUUUAUUUUAUGGAUUAAAUGUGAUGUAUGAUGAGUUUUUACAGUAUGCAGAUCAGGACCAGAAGUUCCUUGAUCCUCAUCAUACAAUUACAUCAGAACUUGAAGAUCCUUGAUGAUGAUGUUAAUAUGAAAGCUGGCAGUCUCUCCGGUACUGUAUUUGUAAACAUGUGAUCGGACUUAAGGGUUCUUGAUCCCUGACAUGUAAAUAAGGACCUAGAGUUCCUUAAUGAUGUAACAGUAUCGUAUUGGUUCAUGGUGCCG
rnacentral:lncRNA from 1 species